rnacentral:misc_RNA from 1 species
UCUCUCUCUCUCUCUCAUCUUCACAUUCUUUCCCCUCAAUCUCAUCCGCUCCUCCUCUCACUCUCAUCUGCUCCUCCUCUCACUCUCACAUUCUCUUCUCCUCUCACUACUGCGAUCAAUUUCUUUUUUCUUUUUAUUUUUUUCCUUCUUUUUUUUUCUCUGUUCUCAUCUCAUGUCGACAUGUUGCUCGACCUAUUCCACGUUCCAGCAAUUUUUUUUAAUUUAUUAAAAAUUUAAUGUGAUGUGAUUUUAUUAUUAAAUGGGUAUCAUGUGAUAUGCUAAUUAAAUAGGUAUUGUGAUUGUGAUUAUGUGAUAUAUUUUUAUUAAAUAAGUAUUAAUGCUCCUGAUGUGUAAAUUGUAAUUUCUUAUUAUGCAAAUUAUUGAAAAAAUCAAAUGUUUAAUACUUUAAUUUCUUGGUUGCUUGAAUUGAUAGUUGUUGCUUUAAUUUCUUAUUUUCUUAUAUUUGUUGCUUUUGUUGCUACUAUUGAAUUGAGAUAACACAACCUUUAUAGUGUUUUUUUGUGCUUUUUAAUUAUGUUACUUUUUAUUUUCUUUUAUUUUUUUGUUAGAUAAUAGAUGGGUGAUAAAUGUAAUGCAACUGGAUCUACUAGCAGCAAAAGAAUGGACCCAGGAUGGGCACAUGCGAUUCAAGUUAAUGAAAAUAAUACAAAUAAUCUUCAAUGCAUUUACUGUAUGAAUGUUUAUAAAAGGGGAGUUAAUAGAAUCAAGCAAC